UACGUAGGGGGCAAGCGUUGUCCGGAUUUAUUGGGCGUAAAGAGCGUGUAGGCGGCCAUACAGGUCAGCUGUGAAAACUCGAGGCUCAACCUCGAGACGUCGGUUGAAACCGUAUGGCUAGAGUCCGGAAGAGGAGAGUGGAAUUCCCGGGUGUAGCGGUGAAAUGCGCAGAUAUCGGGAAGAACACCCGUGGCGAAGGCGGCUCUCUGGGACGGUACUGGACGCUGAGAC
rnacentral:rRNA from 1 species